rnacentral:tRNA from 2 species
GCAGAUGUAGCUCAACUGGCAGAGCGUUCUCCUUCGAUCGAUCUUUCGUCCAGCAAUGGGCCGAUGACCGAGGGUUAUCGACUUCCAAUCGAAAGGUUGCCGGUUCGAAUCCGGCCGUCUGCU